rnacentral:tRNA from 1 species
GCAGCGCAAUGGAUAGCACGUUGGACUUCUAAUCCAAAGGUCGUGGAUUCGAUUCCCAACUAUG